rnacentral:lncRNA from 1 species
CCCCAAAGACCUCUCAUCACUUUGUAUCUCUCACCAUCUCUGUAUCUAACCCCAAACCCUAGCUGCCCUAAGAUACUUCACCAUCUCCGCCGCUAACCGCUCUUGGAUAUCGCCUCAUGACGGUUCCGGUGCUCCAAACACCUUCAAAUUAACACCCCAUAACCCCCGUCCCUUCCUCUUUCAAAAUCCACGAGCUUUUUCUCCAAAAUCCCCACCCAAACCCUCGAAUCUUAAAUCCAAAAAUUAGUUUCUAAACCCUAAGUCACCCAAAUGCCACCAAAUUCACACCAUGCAAUCCCUCCCUUCUCCUCUUCCCAAAUAUCCCCAUGGUUCCUCUCAAAUCAUCCCUAAUCUUGUCGAAUUUUAAAUCUACGAUUCCGAAAAAACCUGAAUUUUCCUUUUCUUCUUUUCUUGGUUAGUGGUUGGUCAAGUGAACCCAAAACAUACAUUAAUCGACUGUUCUUGUUAAGAACAGUCGAUUAAUGGUAGUUCCAGUUCAUUUCUGCCUUGUGAAGUUUGGCCAAGUUUGUAGUAGGGUCCAGUUUGUAAUAAACCUAGGUAAUUUCCUUUUCUGUUUAUUUUACUUUCUUGUUAAUUGUCUUCUUCAUGUUAAUUGCUUCCUUUAGCUGCAUGUUUUAGGGCUAUAAUUUUAGGUUUUCUUUUCUUUAUUCACAACUACUUAGUUGAUCAUUUGUUUCUAUUUUGUAAGUUAAUUGAAGCAUGCCUGAAUUUUAUUCAAUUGCAUGAGUUAGAUUAAUUAGGUUUCACUGUUCUUUCAUGUUAGGUUUAGAAUUUGUUUAGGGUCUUUUUAGUCUAUCUUUGCAAUUCUGUUUUGUUUAAAUAUAGAUGCAUUAGUCAUUUGAAUUAAGUGUUGUUUAGGUUUAAUUAGAUUAAUGUUUUUUUAGGUCAGUCUCAAGGUUAACAUUGCAUCGUUAUCAUUCUGUUUGCCCUUUUAAUUUGAUUUAUAGAUUUUGUCCUGAAUUUGUACAUCAUUAGGAUAUAUAAGGACUUAAUUAGACUAAAAGAAAACUUAGGGGAUUGCAGAACUUUAUUAAAAAUAAAAUAUCUAAAGAAAGAAAGUUUUAGAAGUGUACCUUCUAUCCAAAUUAGUUUAAAAAAGAUGCUGAAAAUGGAUAGUUGGACAUUUUAUCCCCUAUCAAGAUGCUGUACUAUUCUGAUUUUCAGAAUUUUAGGUUAGAAUAUGCUUUUUUGAUGCCAUUCUAAAGCACUCUAUAAAAGAAAAAUAUUCCUUCAUUCACACACACACAUUCAUCAUCAUUCUAUGCACAAAAGGUUCUGAAAAACAUGUCAGAUUUCAGAAAUCCUAGGAAAAAUAUUCUCUCAAGUUCAGCUACUUCUUUUAAAAGAGAAUUGAUUUCUUUGGCUUCUUAUUUCAACCAAAAACAUUCAAAACUUCUUAUUUCUGGUCUUUAUAAUCUGAGAAGCAUGGUUUGAAGUGGAGGUUUUUCUUGGCUUUCCUUGGGGUAUACUGGUUUUAGCUACUGUAGCUCUUUGUUGGAAGUCUGGUUCCUGAUUUUGGUUGUUGAUUUUGAGUCCUGUUGCUGCUCUCUUGUUCUAAGUUUUCAACCACUUUAGUUAUCUAUUGGUUGCUAAUUUUUGUUGUUCUUUCUAGGUAUUUAACCUCAGCUCUUUCUAUAUGUAAUGCCUUAAUGUCUUGUUGAAAUGAUAUAAAAUCAGUUUUGUAAAUGGCAUGUGUAGAAAUGAAUGUCUUUUAUGAUAGCAGUAGUUUACCCUUGAUAUGCAUUUGAUUGGUUUUGAUUAUGUGUGUUUAAAGUCUGGAAUGAUUUAGCAUGAAUAACUUAGUCAACACAUGAGUGUCUUUGUGGUUUUAUCUAGCAAAAAAAAAACUGUCUUAUAGCCAAACAUUCUGGUUAUUAAUGUUGAUUAUGAAGUUUUAGUUAUGUUUUUUUCUUCUUUCUAUCAUCUGAUGGCCUUAUCUUUACUUAAAACCAUUGUUUUCUUUCUUUGUCUGUUUGGUUAUGAGCUGCUACCUGCAGAUUUGGACACUAGUUGGCCUAAUCAGCAGGUUCAAAAGCUGGAAAUUGGGAAUCAUGUUGUUUUUGACAAGAUGAGACCAAACUCUAAUGGACAAAUCAUGUCCAAAAGAGGCAGGAAUUCUUCAUGAUGACAGUAAGGCAAAUUUGUAAUAGCUUAGCUUUUAAUGUAGUUAGUUUGUGUAAUAAGUCAUAAUGUAAGGUAUUGAUUUUGAAAAGAUGUUUAGUUUAUUUGAAGAAUAUAAUGAAUCAGGUUUUAAUAUCAUGUACUAAAGAUUCAGAACAGAUACAUUAAGAGUUUAAUUAUGUGUUUAUUGUAUUUUACAAAAUAGUAGUGGUGUAAAGGAGCUGGGCUUUGAGCCUACUCAGUAGAACUGAAAGGAUAUUCAUUCGAUUAAAGAGGGCUGAAUCUGCAGCCCAAGUGAAAGACUAACCUCAAAUGAUUUGGGCCUAGUCUAUAUGUUCAAACUUUGGAUCAGUCUUUUAUCAUAAAUCAUGUAUGUGUUUUUUUGGUCGC